rnacentral:rRNA from 1 species
GACGAACGCUGGCGGCGUGCUUAACACAUGCAAGUCGAGCGGUAAGGCCCUUCGGGGUACACGAGCGGCGAACGGGUGAGUAACACGUGAGCAAUCUGCCCUCCACAUCGGGAUAACCCCCGGAAACGGGAGCUAAUACCGGAUACGACCACUUCAGGCAUCUGAUGGUGGUGGAAAGUUCCGGCGGUGGAGGAUGAGCUCGCGGCCUAUCAGCUUGUUGGUGGGGUAACGGCCCACCGAGGCUUCGACGGGUAGCCGGCCUGAGAGGGUGACCGGCCACACUGGGACUGAGACACGGCCCAGACUCCUACGGGAGGCAGCAGUGGGGAAUAUUGGACAAUGGGCGAAAGCCUGAUCCAGCAACGCCGCGUGAGGGAUGACGGCCUUCGGGUUGUAAACCUCUUUCAGCAGGGACGAAGCGCAAGUGACGGUACCUGCAGAAGAAGCACCGGCCAACUACGUGCCAGCCGCCGCAGUAAAAC